rnacentral:rRNA from 1 species
GAUGAACGCUAGCGGCAGGCCUAAUACAUGCAAGUCGAACGGUGUAGCAAUACACAGUGGCGCACGGGUGCGUAACACGUAUGCAACCUACCUUACAUUGGGGGAUAGCCUUUCGAAAGGGAGAUUAAUACCGCAUAAGACAGUAACUAGGCAUCUAGUAGCUGUUAAAGAUUUAUCGAUGUAUGCUGGGCAUGCGUCCAAUUAGUUAGUUGGCGAGGGAAUGGCUCACCAAGACGAUGAUUGGUAGGGGAACUGAGAGGUCAAUCCUCCACACUGGCACUGAGAUACGGGCCAGACUCCUACGGGAGGCAGCAGUAGGGAAUAUUGGGCAAUGGGCGCAAGCCUGACCCAGCCAUGCCGCGUGCAGGAAGAAGGCGUUAUGCGUUGUAAACUGCUUUUAUACAGGAAGAAACGACCCUUGCGAGGGGCAUUGACGGUACUGUAUGAAUAAGCACCGGCUAACUCCGUGCCAGCCGCCGCUGUAAUAC